rnacentral:misc_RNA from 1 species
GAUGAAGAACGUAGCGAAAUGCGAUACUUGGUGUGAAUUGCAGAAUCCCGUGAACCAUCGAGUCUUUGAACGCAAGUUGCGCCCGAAGCCUCGGCUAAGGGCACGUCUGCCUGGGCGUCACGCAUCGCGUCUCCCCCAAACCGCCAAGGCGGAGGGGAAGGAAGAUGGCUUCCCGUGCCUCACCCGGGCGCGGUUGGCCUAAAUUUGGAGCCCGCGGCACUUAGCUCUCGCGGCGAUAGGUGGUGAACAAGGCCUUGGCCGUGCAGACAACCCGCUGCGAAGCUCUAUGUCACGUGCGCUCGUCGGACCCUUUGAAGUUGCCUUCGGUGACUUAAAACCUUUGCGACCCCAGGUCAGGCGGGGCUACCCGCUGAAUUUAAGCAUAUCAAUAAGCGGAGGA